UACCAUUAACUUUUUACCAUUAUACAAUAAUAACAUUAAACAGUUGGUAAAAAUUUUUUAGCAUGCACCAAAAGUAGGUUUUUGUUGUUUUUGUAUUGUUUUCCGUUUGCGCGUAAGUAUAAAUAACUUUCCAGGUCCGCACUUUAAACAAUUUUCACAACCUACUUUUGGUGCAUGCUAAAAAUCGCUAACCGUUUUCACCUGGUUAUCGUCGAAGAUUAAAUUUAAAUUGAUUGCUGAGGAUACUAAAUUUAGAAGAGUGCAAUUCUCAAACCGUAUUAAAGAUGCUUUGUCAAGAAAUAAAGUAGUAAGGGAAAGAGUGUUUCCAGUUUGCUUUCCUUCAAAAAGUUCUCAUACUGGUCAUUUUACUAGAGAUGU